rnacentral:lncRNA from 1 species
CCGCCAUUCCGCUCUUUAAUUUUAACUCUUUUUUAUUCUAAUCUUUAAUAUUUCUUUUUCAGGCUUCCUGUGGGAGCAAAAUUUUGGUGCACGGCGAAUCAUUUUCAGGCAAUAAUAAAUCUCUUUAGUUUGGAAUCUUGUUUCAUUCAUGGCUUGGAACUACGAUAGCAAGAAAAUUUAAUGUCGGCAUUUCACAGGGAAUUAAUAGUAGUUUGUGAUCAAUCAAAUUGUAAUUUUCAAUCAAUCGCAGUGACUAUAAGACAAAGAAAGCACAGCUAGCAUUAUCAAUAAUUCAGAUAAAUCUAAACCAAUCAGUGGAAAAGCUGAAUAGACAGAUAAUGAACCUAAUCUCUUAAAUAUGAGACAGAAUAGCUAUGUCUUCGUGGCUCCUUUUCACGUGGAAAGCUAGACCCUAAUUCAAACAUAAAAAUCACCAUCAAUAAUAUAUCUUCCUUGGCAUCUUGCUCCAUUCGACCAUUAAAUUUAGAUAAUAAGUUAGCUAGUGACAAUGCCAAAAAAGGCUUAUCACCAUCAACAAGAGUGACGGCAAUACGAAGAAACGCUAGGUGUAAAUAAGUGGAUUAAUGUCUACAUUUCACUUAUAAUAAAAAAUAAAUUUAAUUUUUUCUGUCAAUAAUUUUUGUUACUUUGAGUUUUAGACUUUCAGUCCGCGGAAUCUGAAAAAUGAAACCCCCAAAUAACUAAUUCGGAAGCUCAAGAUUGAAAUCAAUAAUUUAAAAAUGAUAAUUAUAUGCAUGCUUAUACCACGUAAUACAUAAUGUUUCUAAUUCAUUUAUUGAUAUUUUAAAUAAUCUCUUGGGUAAAUUUUCGAUUAUUCCGAAUUUAUUAUCUUUAAAUUAUUUCAUUACUAUUAAAAACUUUAAGUUAUUUUAAUUUUUAUUUAAAAAAUGAGAGGAGAGAGCUAAUUUAUAUUUGUUAAAUUAUUUUAACUAUUAACAAUAUUUUAAUAUGAUUAUUCUACUAAACAAAUUAAACUGUUUAUAUUACAUUUGUAUUUAUUAAAAAUUUUGAUGUUCAAUUGUUUUUUUGAACUCUUUAGAUAAGAAACCCUCCCUAAAUUCUCUCUCUCCGUCACUAAUCAAUCUCCCGAAGUCUGUUAUUGAUCGGCUUUAUAAAGUUAAGGUUUGUAAUGCAAAACUGAAAAUCGUUUUUUCGUCCAUUCGUUGCCCUCUCUUGCUCUUUCUAAGCGUUUUAACCAGCCAUCAACUUGGUCAAAUUAGUUGACUCAAGUGCCCACGCGAGGACUUAAAUGAUGAAACUAAUGAAUUGGGCACUUGAAAACUCUGCGUUUUGCUUUGGCUUUGAUUAAUGGCCAACAUGUUCCUGGCCUCAAUCUCAUCAACACUCCUAGUUCUCAAGAUUAUAACAAAUAUAAAGAUUAUCUCUUUUGCACUCACAUCGCUUGGAAGUCAAUCUUUUUUUCUGAUUUUUAUCAUGCGGAAAGGUAAUUUACUCUCCACGUGUGUGUGAAUCAUAUCAAGUACCACUCAAAAGCCCAUAAAUCUAUCUCAUACUAAAAAUUAUAAAAUUUAUUUAACACAAAAAUUAUUUCAAUUUUUCAUAAUAAAUAUAAAUAUACUAUUAAAAUAAAUAUAAUAAUUUACAUUUUAAAAAUUAUUUUGUAUAUUAAAAAUAUUCUAAUAUCAUUAGUCUACUAGAUAAAUUAAAUUAUUUAAAUGAUGUUUAUACUUAUAAAAAAUAAAAAUAAUUACUAUCUUUUGAGGUUGUUACAAUCAACAGAAAAUUUUAGUAUUUUAUAUUAAAAAUUUAUAGGUCUACAUAAUUAUUUUUCUAAAUUUUUAGAGUGUAGAUGUCUUUUUUUUUUUUAUCAUGAAUUUAUCUGAAACCCUUUUUUAUUUUUAUCUAAUCCCAUUUAGUUCUUAGUCUUUAUCUUUUUUUUCCUCCCUCCCUAAUAGUAGAAGCAGACUUCCGUGGUGGCAUAGCAACUGAAAUAUCACAGUGACCAUCUUACUUCCAUCAUACCGAUGAAAGUCAGACAAAAGGCUCAUCAUCACCGUCAAUAAACCAAGAAAAUUCCCGGUCCCAUUUUUCCUUUUUAACACCACAGCGGGGGAAAAAAAUUGAGGCAAAUUCUCAAUCCUUGAGAUAAAUUUUUAAAUAUGAGUUAAAUCAGCAGAUUUUUAUAUACUAUCAUAGUAGACUCACUCAUGAUACUGCACAUCAACUAGUCUCUAUGUAAUGGUGUGAGUGGACCUGCCCACAUCGAGUGACAAUAAGUUCUAGACUGACAAAAAUAAGUUUUUGGCAAUCUCUUGAGCUAGUUUUUAUUUAUUUAUUUUUUAUUAUUAUUAUUAGCAGCUAGGCCCAUGUGCUUCUAUAAAUUGAUAUCCUAUAUAAAUAACUUCCCAUUUUAUAUUCUUGGGUGUUGAUGCUUAAAUGCACAUUUCCUGUAAAUUUGUUAGUACAUCAUAUGGCGUUGUAAUUAACUGAACAAAAAUAUUAAUGGUGAAUUCACAUGAAAUCUGCAUUUAGAUAUCUGCACCUAAAAAAUUUUAUACACGCAUUUUCUUUAAUAAAGAUAUUAUCAUUUUAUUAAAGUGAGGAUGAUCAUUAAAAUAUAAAAAAAUAUAAAUAUUAAUAGAUUGAAAAUUCUAGUUUUUUUUGUUAAUGUAUUGAAAUCUGUUUUUUUUAUUAAUUGGUAGCAUCUUUAUUUUAUCAAAGUGAGGAUAUUCAUAGAGAAUGAAUAUAUAUAUGUGUGUGUGUGAAGUUUGAAACGGCUUAUAGAAUGAGACUUACCUUCCAAACAUCUCACAUGGCUUUAAUUGGGCUUUUGGAUAUCUUCUUGGCAAUCAUUUGCUUCUUGAUUCUUCGAUAUUGUUUCAGCAAUAACAAUGGAAUCCCAAAGAACUUCCCAGUCG